ACAUACAAGUACAGAAAUAAUAUUUUCAUUCAGCUAAAACCAUUGAUCAUGUUCACUGUUAUAUUCAUGUGUCUGUGGCUUUCACUAGGUGACUCCAUUGCAGAUUCAAUAGAGCCACUUUUUACUCAUAAAGCUGUAGAUGAAGGUGAUGAUGUUACUCUGUCCUGCAAAUACAAAACAACCAGUGCUUCAGCAUACAGCACCUACUUACACUGGUACAGACAAUAUCCAAAAUCUACACCUGAGUUCCUUCUUUAUAUUACACAAAGUGGAGAUCUAAGUCAGAACAAACCCCCAAGAAUGUCUGCUACAGUUAAUGGAGAUAAAGUGGAUCUGAUCAUCUCCUCUGCUGCUGUAUCAGACUCUGCUCUAUACUACUGUGCUCUGCAGCCCACAGUGACAGGAAAUCCAGCUGCUCUGUACAAAAACGUACAGUUUUGUUAUGCUGAAAGCAGAGAUACAAGCCUAAGCCAUGACACUACACAAAUUAUUAAUGAACAAAUUAUUUCAUGUUUCCACUGUUAA